UGCCAGCAGCCGCGGUAAUACGAAGGUGGCAAGCGUUGUUCGGAAUUACUGGGCUUAAAGCGCACGUAGGCGGAAAGUUAAGUGUCUUGUGAAAGCCCCCGGCUUAACCGGGGAACUGCAGGGCAUACUGGCUUUCUUGAGGCAAGUAGGGGUGCAUGGAACUCUGGGUGGAGCGGUGAAAUGCGUAGAUAUCCAGAGGAACGCCAGAGGUGAAAACGGUGCACUGGACUUGUACUGACGCUGAGGUGCGAAAGCGUGGGGAUCGAACGGGAUUAGAUACCCCGGUAGUCCACGCCGUAAACGAUGUCUACUAGAUCGUGGGAGUUCUGACGCUUUCACGGUCGAAGCAAAAGUGCUAAGUAGACCGCCUGGGGAGUACGGUCGCAAGGCUAAAACUCAAAGGAAUUGACGGGGGCUCACACAAGCGGUGGAGCAUGUGGCUUAAUUCGAAGCAACGCGAAGAACCUUAUCCUGGGUUUGACAUGUACGGAUGCCUGCCUCGAAAGGGGAUUUGGCUGCCUUCGGGUGAAACGUACACAGGUGCUGCAUGGCUGUCGUCAGCUCGUGUCGUGAGAUGUCGGGUUAAGUCCCUUAACGAGCGAAACCCUUAUCGUUAGUUGCCAGCGGGUCAUGCCGGGGACUCUAGCGAGACUGCCGGUGUUAAACCGGAGGAAGGUGGGGAUGACGUCAAGUCCUCAUGGCCUUUAUGCCCAGGGCUGCACACGUGCUACAAUGGUGCGUACAAACCGGAUGCGAUGCCGUGAGGUGGAGCAAAUCGGAAAAAGCGCGCCCCAGUUCGAAUUGUAGGCUGCAACUCGCCUACAGAAGUCGGAAUCGCU
rnacentral:rRNA from 1 species